GCAGAGCAUCCUACGGGAGGCAGCAGUGGGGAAUAUUGCACAAUGGGCGCAAGCCUGAUGCAGCCAUGCCGCGUGUAUGAAGAAGGCCUUCGGGUUGUAAAGUACUUUCAGCAGUGAGGAAGUGGGUAUGUUAAUAGCAUACUCAUUUGACGUUAGCUGCAGAAGAAGCACCGGCUAACUCCGUGCCAGCAGCCGCGGUAAUACGGAGGGUGCGAGCGUUAAUCGGAAUUACUGGGCGUAAAGCGCAUGCAGGUGGUUUGUUAAGUCAGAUGUGAAAGCCCGGGGCUCAACCUCGGAAUUGCAUUUGAAACUGGCAAACUAGAGUACUGUAGAGGGGGUAGAAUUUCAGGUGUAGCGGUGAAAUGCGUAGAGAUCUGAAGGAAUACCGGUGGCGAAGGCGGCCCCCUGGACAGAUACUGACACUCAGAUGCGAAAGCGUGGGGAGCAAACAGGAUUAGAUACCCUGGUAG
rnacentral:rRNA from 1 species